rnacentral:misc_RNA from 1 species
GCUACACUUUCUGAACUUUCUACUGCACCUGAAUUACUGGAAAGCACGGGAGGUCUGACUGAUAACAGGCAUUUUACCUGUGAAGCCUCAAUCAUUCAAAGAAUCAAGCUUGUUGCUGAAAGUCUAGCAAGACACAUUUACAGCCAGGAGAAGAAAAGCAUAAGCAUAUUUGCAGACGAUAGUAGCCUAGCUGUCAAUCCUUCCUACAUAAGGUCUUGGCUAGAUCUCUUAUCCACAACACCUCGAGUGGCACCUUUUCUUUCAA